GACGAACGCUGGCGGCGUGCUUAACACAUGCAAGUCGAACGGAAAGGCCCUGCUUUUGUGGGGUGCUCGAGUGGCGAACGGGUGAGUAACACGUGAGUAACCUGCCCUUGACUUUGGGAUAACUGCAGGAAACUGGGGCUAAUACCGGAUAGGAGCUCCUGCUGCAUGGUGGGGGUUGGAAAGUUUCGGCGGUUAGGGAUGGACUCGCGGCUUAUCAGCUUGUUGGUGGGGUAGUGGCUUACCAAGGCUUUGACGGGUAGCCGGCCUGAGAGGGUGACCGGCCACAUUGGGACUGAGAUACGGCCCAGACUCCUACGGGAGGCAGCAGUGGGGAAUAUUGCACAAUGGGCGGAAGCCUGAUGCAGCAACGCCGCGUGCGGGAUGACGGCCUUCGGGUUGUAAACCGCUUUCGCCUGUGACGAAGCGUGAGUGACGGUAAUGGUUAAAGAAGCACCGGCUAACUACGUG
rnacentral:rRNA from 1 species